rnacentral:lncRNA from 1 species
GUUCUAAAGACUUCAUUAUAAUACAAGAGUUCUAAUAAGAAAUAUGUACACAUUGUGAUGAAUAUGCCAAAUAACUUUUAUUAAUUCAUAAUUCAUAUAUAAAUUAUAAAGAGCAUAAUUUUUACUUGGACAUAUUUUCUAAUAUCCAUCUUCCAUUUAAGUUCAACGAACUCUUUGAUUUCGAAGACUUUAGCAAAUGAGUCAGCCAAGUUCUCCUUUUUCGUUGAUCUUCUGAAGGUCGAUAUCACCUC